AAAAGAUCAGUCGCUGUUCAGCCCACUUUGCAGCUUAUUUUGUAUGAGAACAAUCUACAUAAACACACAGACACUGUUCAACAGACAGGACAUGGCGAUCUUUCUGACAGUGGAGGAGAAGGGUGCAGGACUGUUCCUGCUCACUGGGCCUGAGGAUAUGGUCACUGAAGUGGGACCUUGGGUGUCAGAGUUUCGCAGGGUAAAGGAGCAGGAAAGGCUGGAUGUUACCAGGGUAAAGCCAACAGUCUGGUGAAGAGAGCAGAAGCUGAGGAUUUACUGAGGGAGCACAUCUGCAAACUCACUGCAGGAGAAGAAUAAUAUGACCACAUACAGUCGUGAUGAUUCAUGAUGAUCCAGAUCAGAACUAGACUGCUUUGUUGCAGUUUACACUCUAAGUGCACAAUACGUUGCAACACAUCACGAUGCACCUUCAGUUGAUAGAGGCUCCAUUUCUGUUUU